rnacentral:rRNA from 1 species
UACGAAGGGGGCUAACGUUGCUCGGAAUCACUGGGCGUAAAGGGUGCGUAGGCGGGUCUUUAAGUCAGGGGUGAAAUCCUGGAGCUCAACUCCAGAACUGCCUUUGAUACUGAAGAUCUUGAGUUCGGGAGAGGUGAGUGGAACUGCGAGUGUAGAGGUGAAAUUCGUAGAUAUUCGCAAGAACACCAGUGGCGAAGGCGGCUCGCUGGCCCGAUACUGACGCUGAGGCACGAAAGCGUGGGGAGCAAACAGG